CAAGUACUCCCUCCAUCCGGAAUUACUUGUCAUCAAAAUGGAUGUGUCUAGAACUAAAAUACAUCUAGAUACAUCCAUUUCAAUGACAAGUAUUUUCUGACGGAGGGAGUACAAG
rnacentral:pre_miRNA from 1 species